rnacentral:rRNA from 1 species
UACGUAGGGACCAAGCGUUGUUCGGAUUUACUGGGCGUAAAGGGCGCGUAGGCGGCAAUUCAAGUCACUUGUGAAAUCUCCGAGCUUAACUCGGAACGGUCAAGUGAUACUGCUUUGCUAGAGUGCAGAAGGGGCAACCGGAAUUCUUGGUGUAGCGGUGAAAUGCGUAGAUAUCUGGAGGAACACCGGUGGCGAAGGCGGCAUUCUGGACUGCAACUGACACUGAAAGACGAAAGCCAGGGGAGCAAACGGG